AACAAAAACUACUUUCCACAACACAUAAUUAUAAACUACUUUCCACACCACAUAAUUAUAAGUCUUUUGAAAAUGCAUUGUAAUAUAUACUAUGUAAAAAGUGGUAAAGUAAUAGAAAUAAAAUUAAAAAAAAAAACAGCCUACCCCGAUACCUUUUUUCCCAUUCUCCUUCUCGUCUCUUUCUAUUCCCUUCGCCCUAGCCACCACUCCCGUAGCCACCAUCAUCCUCAGCUCCGACCACCUAACCGCCAUCCUCCUAACCAUUUUUCUCCAAGCCAAGCUCCAAAUCUCAGGCACUCGUGAACCCAACUCCCGAACCAAGUGACCCCAGGUGCGAGCCCACCUCUGUGUGCCUUUGACCAGUGCGACUUCCAUUCGCGAGCCACCACCAGGCGCGAUUCUGCACUCGUUCCCCUGUAGAGCCCCGAGUGUGCACCAAGCCAGGGCCUAGAUUCCACAAGCCCAGGCGUGCCUCCCCUUAAUGCGAGGCCAUGUGUGUCUCCAAGAAAACUCCUGCAUCGAGAGCUCCAUCGCACCCAGAAAAAAAUCGACACCGACCCCAGCUUUGUGAGCUCCUGGAAGGAGUAGGUGGGAGUCCUAGAAUUAUCCAGGAGCUGUAGGAGAAGUCAAAUUUUCCUUCGUACAGUAGUAUAAAGAAGUGUUCAGUAUGGAUAUGGUGAUUUGAGCUUCAAGUGACGGUGGUAUUUUUUUCCAAGGGAAGUCUAGUAACCAGAAAUGGAUUUUGGGUCGUUGGUAUGGUAUUGUUGCCCUGUGGAAAAUGGAUUUUGGACUAAAGCAGUUGAGAAUGCCUUUGGUGCUUACACACCAUGUGGGGUUAACUCCUUAGUGGUGGCUGUUUCUCAUCUGGUUCUUCUAGGCCUGCGCUUCUAUUGAAUAUGGAGGAUGAAGAAAGAUGUUACAGUUCAACGGUUCUGUUUGAGGUCCAAUCUUUAUAAUUCUGCGUUGGCAUGUUUGGCUACUUAUUUUGCUGCUAAGCCUCUGUUCAGAUUGAUAAUGGGAUUUUCAGUGCUGAAUUUGGAUGGGCUGCCUGGUCUUGCACCUUUUGAGAACUACUUGGUGCAACAUCAGUAGAUGCUUAAGGUGAGGCCCAAUAUUUAACCAAUGAGAUGUUCAAGAAACCAUUUCUGAGAUUUUCAACAACUUUCUUUUGAUUGGAAAAUCGGAGAUUCAACAAGUGAAGUGCAAAAGAAAAUCUGAUUUGGAAGGCUUUGGUGUGCUGGCAUUUGGAUGAUCAUGAAUUCCUACCUCUAUUUUUGAAUAUGCAAUUGUUUAAGACUAUUUUGUUGACUAUUGUUAGAAUGUUUUGUUUAUGUUAAUUAGGCAUUGUUGAAUAUCACAAGACUUUUGGAUUAUUUUUUAGAUGAUCUUGAAUGUAUUCUGACACAAUUAUUUGGUUAUAUGUGUUAUGAACCAUAUAAUUGGUACUCAAAAAUAUAUUUGUACAAUGUUAAUGGUGUCUUAGGUAUAUUAAAUGAAGCAGAUUUG